rnacentral:rRNA from 1 species
GCGGUAACUCCAGCUCCAAUAGCGUAUACUAAAAUUGUUGCGGUUAAAAAGCUCGUAGUUGCAUUUGUGCUGCGCGCUGUCGGUGCACCGCAUCCGCGGUGAUACUGACACGUUUGCGGAGCAUAUCGUCGGUGAGCCGGCGGUCAAACGCCGGUUCAAUAUCAAAAUCCUAUCGCGAUGCUCUUCAGUGAGUGUCGAGGUGGGCCGACAAUUUUACUUUGAACAAAUUAGAGUGCUCAAAGCGGGCUCAAAAUGCUGCUUGAAUAUUUCGUGCAUGGAAUAAUAGAAUAUGAUCUCGGUUCUAUUUUGUUGGUUUUCAGAACUCCGAGGUAAUGAUUAAUAGGGAUAACUGGGGGCAUUCGUAUUGCGACGUUAGAGGUGAAAUUCUUGGAUCGUCGCAAGACGAACAUCAGCGAAAGCAUUUGCCAAAGGUGUUUUCAUCAAUCAAGAACGAAAGUUAGAGGUUCGAAGGCGAUUAGAUACCGCCCUAGUUCUAACCGUAAAUAUGUCAUCUAGCGAUCCGCCGACGUUACUACAAUGGCUCGGCGGGCAGCUUCCGGGAAACCAAAGAUUUUGGACUCCGGGGGGAGUAUGGUUGCAAAGCUGAAA